CAACUCGACUGCAUGAAGCUGGAAUCGCUAGUAAUCGCGAAUCAGAAUGUCGCGGUGAAUACGUUCCCGGGUCUUGUACACACCGCCCCGCCACACCAUGGGAGGUUGGUAACGCCCGAAGUCAGUGACCCAACCGCAAGGAGGGAGCUGCCGAAGGCGGGACCGGUAACUGGGGUGAAGUCGUAACAAGGUAAC
rnacentral:rRNA from 1 species